rnacentral:rRNA from 1 species
GGGUUGUGAGGUUAAGCGACUAAGCGUACACGGUGGAUGCCCUGGCAGUCAGAGGCGAUGAAGGGCGUGCUAAUCUGCGAUAAGCGCCGGUAAGGUGAUAUGAACCGUUAUAACCGGCGAUACCCGAAUGGGGAAACCCAGUGUGAUUCGUCACACUAUCAUUAACUGAAUCCAUAGGUUAAUGAGGCGAACCGGGGGAACUGAAACAUCUAAGUACCCCGAGGAAAAGAAAUCAACCGAGAUUCCCCCAGUAGCGGCGAGCGAACGGGGAGGAGCCCAGAGCCUGAAUCAGCAUGUGUGUUAGUGGAAGCGUCUGGAAAGGCGCGCGAUACAGGGUGACAGCCCCGUACACAAAAGCGCAUAUGCUGUGAGCUCGAUGAGUAGGGCGGGACACGUGGUAUCCUGUCUGAAUAUGGGGGGACCAUCCUCCAAGGCUAAAUACUCCUGACUGACCGAUAGUGAACCAGUACCGUGAGGGAAAGGCGAAAAGAACCCCGGCGAGGGGAGUGAAAAAGAACCUGAAACCGUGUACGUACAAGCAGUGGGAGCCCCACCACUAAGCCAGUGGUGAACUCCACAUACGCAUCCUUUGCUGAGGAGACGGUUAACGGAGCGAAAGCGACGUUCAACCUCAAAAGAAGCAGAGGGGGCUUAGUGGUGGGGUGACUGCGUACCUUUUGUAUAAUGGGUCAGCGACUUAUAUUCUGUAGCAAGGUUAACUGUAUAGGGGAGCCGGAGGGAAACCGAGUCUUAACCGGGCGUUAAGUUGCAGGGUAUAGACCCGAAACCCGGUGAUCUAGCCAUGGGCAGGUUGAAGGUUGGGUAACACUAACUGGAGGACCGAACCGACUAAUGUUGAAAAAUUAGCGGAUGACCUGUGGCUGGGGGUGAAAGGCCAAUCAAACCGGGAGAUAGCUGGUUCUCCCCGAAAGCUAUUUAGGUAGCGCCUCGUGAAUUCAUCUCCGGGGGUAGAGCACUGUUUCGGCUAGGGGGCCAUCCCGGCUUACCAACCCGAUGCAAACUGCGAAUACCGGAGAAUGUUAUCACGGGAGACACACGGCGGGUGCUAAUGUCCGUCGUGAAGAGGGAAACAACCCAGACCGCCAGCUAAGGUCCCAAAGUCAUGGUUAAGUGGGAAACGAUGUGGGAAGGCCCAGACAGCCAGGAUGUUGGCUUAGAAGCAGCCAUCAUUUAAAGAAAGCGUAAUAGCUCACUGGUCGAGUCGGCCUGCGCGGAAGAUGUAACGGGGCUAAACCAUGCACCGAAGCUGCGGCAGCGACACCGUGUGUUGUUGGGUAGGGGAGCGUUCUGUAAGCCUGUGAAGGUGUGCUGUGAGGCAUGCUGGAGGUAUCAGAAGUGCGAAUGCUGACAUAAGUAACGAUAAAGCGGGUGAAAAGCCCGCUCGCCGGAAGACCAAGGGUUCCUGUCCAACGUUAAUCGGGGCAGGGUGAGUCGACCCCUAA